UUAUUUAAUGGCCGCGGUAUCUUGACCGUGCAAAGGUAGCAUAGUCAUUAGUCUAUUAAUUGUGGACUUGUAUGAAUGGUUGGACGAAAUAUUAACUGUCUCAAUUUGAAUAUUUGAAUUUAAAUUUUAAGUUAAAAUGCUUAAAUUUAUUUAUGGGACGAGAAGACCCUAUAGAUCUUUAUUUUUAAUAGAAUUUAUUUGUUUUAGUUUAUUUUUUGUAAAUUUUAUUAAUUUUUUUGUUGGGGUGACAUGGAGAUAAUUAUUUAACUCUUUAUUUUAUUAUACAUUUAUAUAUGUUUAUUUGACCUUUUAUUAUUGUUUUAAGAAAUAGAUACCUUAGGGAUAACAGCGUAAUUCUUUUUGAGAGUUCUUAUUGACAAAAGAGAUUGCGACCUCGAUGUUGGAUUAAGAUUAUAAUUGGGUGUAGGUGCUUAGUUGUUAGGUCUGUUCGACCUUUAAAUUCUUACAUGAUCUGAGUCA
rnacentral:rRNA from 1 species